rnacentral:rRNA from 1 species
AUUGAACGCUGGCGGCGUGCCUUACACAUGCAAGUCGAACGGCAGCACGGGGCAACCUGGUGGCGAGUGGCGAACGGGUGAGUAAUGCAUCGGAACGUACCUUUCAGUGGGGGAUAACGUAGCGAAAGUUACGCUAAUACCGCAUAUUCUGUGAGCAGGAAAGCAGGGGAUCGCAAGACCUUGCGCUGAUUGAGCGGCCGAUGUCAGAUUAGCUAGUUGGUGAGGUAAAGGCGCACCAAGGCGACGAUCUGUAGCGGGUCUGAGAGGAUGAUCCGCCACACUGAACUGAGACACGGUCCAGACUCCUACGGGAGGCAGCAGUGGGGAAUUUUGGACAAUGGGGGCAACCCUGAUCCAGCCAUGCCGCGUGAGUGAAGAAGGCCUUCGGGUUGUAAAGCUCUUUCGGCCGGGAAGAAAUCGCACGGGCUAAUACCCUGUGUGGAUGACAGUACCGGAAUAAGAAGCACCGGCUAACUACGUGCCAGCAGCCGCAGUAAAAC